GGCUUCGAUCCUGCUCAGAUUGACCCGCUGGCGGAUGCUUUAUAAUACGCAAGUCGAACGGCAGCACGGACUUCUGGUCUGGCGGCGAGCGCGAACGGUGAGUAAUGUAUCGGAACGUGCCUAGAAGCGGGGAUAAUCAUGAAAGUAGCCAAUACCGCAUACACCUUCGGGGGAAAGUGGGGACCUUCGGGCCUUGCACCAGAGCGGGCCGAUACGGAUUAGCGAAGUGGUGGGUAACGGCUCACCAAGGCGACGAUCCGUAGCUGGUUUGAGAGGACGACCAGCCACACUGGGACUGAGACACGGCCCAGGACUCCUACGGGAGGCAGCAGGGAAUUUUGGACAAUGGGGGAAACCCUGAUCCAGCCAUCCUGGGCGUGUGGUGAUGAAGGCCUUCGGGUUGUAAAGCACCCUUGGCAGAAAGAAACGGCACGGGAUAAUACCCCGUGCAAUUGACGGUACCUGCAGAAUAAGCACCGGCUAACUACGUGCCAGCAGCCGCGGUAAUACGUAGGGUGCAAGCGUUAAUCGGAAUUACUGGGCGUAAAGCGUGCGCAGGCGGUCUGGAAAGAAAGAUGUGAAAAUCCCAGAGCUUAAUCCUUUGAACCAGCAUUUUUAACUACCGAGCUAGAGUGUGUCAGAGGGUGGAAUUCCGCGUGUAGCAGUGAAAUGCGUAGAUAUGCGGAGGAACACCGAUGGCGAAGGCAGCCUCCUGGGGAUAAAUACCGACGCUCAUGCACGAAAGCGUGGGGAGCAAACAGGAUUAGAUACCCAGGUCCACGCCCUAAACGAUGUCAACUAGCCGUUGGGGCCUUCGGGCCUGAAGCAGCUAACGCGUGAAGUUGACCGCCUGGGAGUACGGUCACAAGAUUAGAACUCAAAGGAAUUGACGGGACCGCACAAGCGGUGGAUGAUGUGGAUUAAUCUGAUGCAACGCGAAAAACCUGCCCUACCCUUGACAUGUCUCAACUUGAAGAGAUUGGGAGGUUUCGCAAGAGAACCUGAACACAGGUGUUGCAUGGCUGUCACGUCAGCUCGCCGUGAGAUGUUGGGUUAAGUCCCGCAACGAGCGCAACCCUUGUCAUUAGUUGCUACGAAAGGGCACUCUAGACGAGACUGCUGCGGACAAACCGGAGGAAGGUGGGGGAUGACGCCAAGUCCUCAUGGCCCUUAUGGGUAGGGCUUCACACGUCAUACAAUGGUCGGGACAGAGGUGGUCGCCAACCCGCGAGGGGGAGCCAAUCCCAGAACCGAUCGUAGUCCGGAUCGCAGUAGUCUGCAACUCGACUGCGUGAAGUCGGAAUCGCUAGUAAUCGCGGAUCAGCAUGUCGCGGUGAAUACGUUCCCGGUCUUGUACACACCGCCCGUCACACCAUGGGAGUGGGUUUUACCAGAAGUAGUUAGCCUAACCGUAAGGAGGGCGAUUACCACGGUAGGAUUCAUGACUGGGGUGAAGUCGUAACAAGGUAA
rnacentral:rRNA from 1 species